rnacentral:rRNA from 2 species
UUGAACGCUGGCGGCAUGCCUUACACAUGCAAGUCGAACGGUAACAGGGAGCUUGCUCCGCUGACGAGUGGCGAACGGGUGAGUAAUAUAUCGGAACGUACCUUUGAGUGGGGGAUAACUAGUCGAAAGACUAGCUAAUACCGCAUACGAUCUACGGAUGAAAGUGGGGGAUCGCAAGACCUCAUGCUCAUAGAGCGGCCGAUAUCUGAUUAGCUAGUUGGUGAGGUAAAGGCUCACCAAGGCAUCGAUCAGUAGCUG